rnacentral:lncRNA from 1 species
CAGGGCUUUGCAAAUAAGGAACAGCCUGUUUUGCAGGAGCAGGUGGUGAUAUCUGCACUGUAAUUCUGAAGUUUUACCUUCCAUCCCAUUCUCCUGUGAUUUUUUUUUUUCCCGCUUUGUUGCAUAAGAAAAAGAAAAGAAAGGCAGCCAGCCUCCUUGUCCUCGGGGAGCACUUCCUCCCCUCUGCAAUGGGAAUGUUUUUUGGACUGGAAUUGCUGCUAUUUGCAAACUUGUUCAGCCCCUGACUUUUCUCGUUGGGUGAGUGCGGCUCUCCCGCACAGAGCAACGCGCACCUGCUGUCUGCCAGCACUGAGUGACGGCUGCUGAUGGAAUCUACGUGGGAAAGCCCUUCGCCAUCAAAAGGCUCUGGCUGUGUGGACGGAUGCAGAGUACUGCCCGUUGGCUCUGACCUAGCCAGGCACAAGCCAGCUCCAGGCUGGGAGCGCACCGCAGCGCGUGCUGGCUGGCCACUGACCCCGAGCUGUCCCAGCCUGGCUGGAACUGCAUCCCCACGUGCUGAGGAGAGCUGCCCUCUGGAAGGCGUCUCUGCUGCUGCUGUGAGAACACAAUCCUGGUGAGAGAGGCCCAGCUAAGCACAGCUCCUUUCAGAUUUGGCCGCUCAGUGUUUUCCAUUAGCUUGAUACAUGCUGUUUACAUCCUACUGCCGCCAGUGCCAGAGAUAACUGCCUUGGGAGCAGCUCCCUGCAGGAAAAUACUGUCUGUGCUCCUCAGAAGGACUUGAUGCGAACUGUUGCCAGAGAUUUGUCACUCGGUGGAUGGAGUGCGGGAUGGAACAUAGCAGCUCCUGCUGGUGCCUUUGUCAUUGCUCCAAGUCGAAGAUCUCCAAGUGCUCUAUAAUGAUAAGAG